rnacentral:rRNA from 1 species
AAGGGUUAAAUCGGUUUAAUGUAAGUAAAAAUAUGAAAGGUUUAGAAGCUAAGAAGUCUAUGGAAUAAACUAGGAUUAGAUACCCUAUUAUACAUAGAUAAAAAUUAUAAAGGUUAAUUAGUAUUAGUUAUUUUCUUAAAAUUGAGAGAAUUUGGCGGUUGUUUAGUCUUGUUAGAGGAACCUGUUUUUUAAACGAUAAACCACGAAGUAUCUUACUUAAGUUUGUAUACCGUCAUUAUUAGAUGAUUUUUAUAGAAUAAAUUGUUUAAGAUUAAAUUAGUUUAAUAUAUUAGAUCAAGGUGCAGCUUAUACAUAAGUAAAAAUGGGUUACAAUAAAAUUUAUUUAUAAUGGAUUUAUUUGAAGGAGGAUUUAAUUGUAUAUAAAGUUAAUAAUUUUAUAUGAUAUUAGCUCUAGAUUAUGUACAUAUCGCCCGUCACUUUC